CCAGACUCCUACGGGAGGCAGCAGUGGGGAAUAUUGCACAAUGGGGGAAACCCUGAUGCAGCAACGCCGCGUGGGUGAAGGAGCGUUUCGGCGCGUAAAGCCCUGUCAGCGGGGAAGAAGAAAGACGGUACCCGACCAAGAAGCCCCGGCUAACUACGUGCCAGCAGCCGCGGUAAUACGUAGGGGGCAAGCGUUGUCCGGAAUGACUGGGCGUAAAGGGAGUGUAGGCGGCCUUUAAGUUAUAUGUGAAAGCCCCCGGCUUAACCGAGGAACUGCAUAUAAAACUGGAGGGCUGGAGUGCAGGAGAGGUAAGCGGAAUUUCUAGUGUAGCGGUGGAAUGCGUAGAUAUUAGGAAGAACACCGGAGGCGAAGGCGGCUUACUGGACUGUAACUGACGCUGAGGCUCGAAAGCGUGGGGAGCAAACAGGAUUAGAUACCCUGGUAC
rnacentral:rRNA from 1 species